CGGGCCCGAGUUGUAAUUUGUAGAGGAUACUUUUGAUGCGGUGCCUUCCGAGUUCCCUGGAACGGGACGCCAUAGAGGGUGAGAGCCCCGUCUGGUUGGAUGCCAAAUCUCUGUAAAGUUCCUUCGACGAGUCGAGUAGUUUGGGAAUGCUGCUCUAAAUGGGAGGUAUAUGUCUUCUAAAGCUAAAUACCGGCCAGAGACCGAUAGCGCACAAGUAGAGUGAUCGAAAGAUGAAAAGCACUUUGAAAAGAGAGUUAAAAAGUACGUGAAAUUGUUGAAAGGGAAGCGUUUAUGACCAGACUUGGGCUUGGUUAAUCAUCUGGGGUUCUCCCCAGUGCACUUUUCCAGUCCAGGCCAGCAUCAGUUUUCCCCGGGGGAUAAAGACUUCGGGAAUGUGGCUCUCUUCGGGGAGUGUUAUAGCCCGUUGUGUAAUACCCUGGGGGGGACUGAGGUUCGCGCAUCUGCAAGGAUGCUGGCGUAAUGGUCAUCAACGACCCGUCUUGAAACACGGACCAAGGAGUCGUCUUCGUAUGCGAGUGUUCGGGUGUCAAACCCCUACGCGUAAUGAAAGUGAACGCAGGUGAGAGCUUCGGCGCAUCAUCGACCGAUCCUGAUGUUCUCGGAUGGAUUUGAGUAAGAGCAUACGGGGCCGGACCCGAAAGAAGGUGAACUAUGCCUGUAUAGGGUGAAGCCAGAGGAAACUCUGGUGGAGGCUCGCAGCGGUUCUGACGUGCAAAUCGAUCGUCAAAUAUGGGCAUGGGGGCGAAAGACUAAUCGAACCUUCUAGUAGCUGGUUUCCGCCGAAGUUUCCCUCAGGAUAGCAGUGUUGAACUCAGUUUUAUGAGGUAAAGCGAAUGAUUAGGGACUCGGGGGCGCUAUUUAGCCUUCAUCCAUUCUCAAACUUUAAAUAUGUAAGAAGCUCUUGUUGCUUAAUUGAACGUGAGCAUUCGAAUGUAUCAACACUAGUGGGCCAUUUUUGGUAAGCAGAACUGGCGAUGCGGGAUGAACCGAACGCGAGGUUAAGGUGCCAGAGUAGACGCUCAUCAGACACCACAAAAGGUGUUAGUACAUCUUGACAGCAGGACGGUGGCCAUGGAAGUCGGAAUCCGCUAAGGACUGUGUAACAACUCACCUGCCGAAUGUACUAGCCCUGAAA
rnacentral:rRNA from 1 species